rnacentral:rRNA from 1 species
GACGAACGCUGGCGGCGUGCUUAACACAUGCAAGUCGAACGGAAAGGCCCUGCUUUUGUGGGGUGCUCGAGUGGCGAACGGGUGAGUAACACGUGAGUAACCUGCCCUUGACUUUGGGAUAACUUCAGGAAACUGGGGCUAAUACCGGAUAGGAGCUCCUGCUGCAUGGUGGGGGUUGGAAAGUUUCGGCGGUUGGGGAUGGACUCGCGGCUUAUCAGCUUGUUGGUGGGGUAGCGGCUUACCAAGGCUUUGACGGGUAGCCGGCCUGAGAGGGUGACCGGCCACAUUGGGACUGAGAUACGGCCCAGACUCCUACGGGAGGCAGCAGUGGGGAAUAUUGCACAAUGGGCGGAAGCCUGAUGCAGCAACGCCGCGUGCGGGAUGACGGCCUUCGGGUUGUAAACCGCUUUCGCCUGUGACGAAGCGUGAGUGACGGUAAUGGGUAAAGAAGAACCGGCUAACUACGUG